GUCCACGCCGUAAACGAUGUCAACUAGCCGUUGGUCCUAUAUACAGGAUUAGUGGCGCAGCUAACGCCUUAAGUUGACCGCCUGGGGAGUACGGCCGCAAGGUUAAAACUCAAAUGAAUUGACGGGGGCCCCGCACAAGCGGUGGAGCAUGUGGUUUAAUUCGAUGCAACGCGAAGAACCUUACCUACCCUUGACAUCCAGAGAAUCUGUUAGAGAUAGUAGAGUGCCUUCGGGAACUCUGAGACAGGUGCUGCAUGGCUGUCGU
rnacentral:rRNA from 1 species